rnacentral:misc_RNA from 1 species
GAUGAAUAACGUAGCGAAAUGCGAUAAGUAAUGUGAAUUGCAGAAUUCAGUGAAUCAUCGAAUCUUUGAACGCACAUUGCGCCCGUCAGUAUUCUGGCGGGCAUGCCUGUUCGAGCGUCAUUACGCCCCUCAAGUCCCCUGUGGACUUGGUGUUGGGGAUCGGCGAGGCUGGUUUUCCAGCACAGCCGUCCCUUAAAUUAAUUGGCGGUCUCGCCGUGGCCCUCCUCUGCGCAGUAGUAAAACACUCGCAACAGGAGCCCGGCGCGGUCCACUGCCGUAAAACCCCCCAACUUUUUAUAGUUGACCUCGAAUCAGGUAGGACUACCCGCUGAACUUAAGCAUAUCAAUAAGCGGAGGA